UCCUCAUGAGGUCUGGUUAAUAUCAGGAAUUAUUGCCUCAAACGCUGCAGGAGGUUCAACCUGGAUCAGAAGCCAAGACCAAUGCUGCACUUGGAAGGGACGACCAAUAGUUCCGUGUUCCUGACCUGUCUUACAGUCUUUCGCUUCUAUCCGCAGUGGACCGUUUGGCUGAUCACGUCACUCUACAGCUGAACUUCUGCCACAUUUGAGCACCCACAUUAAAGACAAAAGCUGUACCUCAGACUUGUCACCAAGAAAGCUCAGUGGAGAUUUUGUAGGAGGUUGGGGAGAUAAUGGAGAGGCAAGACAGCAAUAUGGGAUUGGCUGGAAAGAUGACAGACUGCAUAUGCACAUCAAAUAAAUUCCAAACCCAGCCAUCUAUUCCCAAGGAGGUUUGGACAAAACAAAGGAACGAAUGUGGAACAGAAGUUUCAAAGACCUCUACGGAAAGAUAAAGUUCUCAGAGGUAUCAACCUCAUAUGAAAGGGUCUUUCAGAAGGUCAUUUUAUUAAAGCUAUGGAGAAGAAAUAUUUGUAACCCUAAUGACCUGCUGCUGAAGGAUAAUCAAACCACAGUGACUAGGAAAUCAUUUUUGCUCAAGAAUGAAGUGGGUGCAAUCCUGGAACUCACAGUUGGGCAGGGGCAGUUUUCAGAUAUGACAGGCCUGCUUUCCUGAGAUAUGACUCAGCCCAGAAUAAAUAUUUGUGCUGCACAGAAGGAUUUCACCAUU
rnacentral:lncRNA from 1 species